UCGUCGCCAAUUUAUCAGGCUUGCCACCUGCGAUUAUCCUCGGACAGCGCUCUCCCGCGGAGCUCCGCGUCUGUCAAGAUGAGCUACUGGCUAUAUUAGAAACAACCUUGGUCCACUAGAUCUAGCAUCUGUCUCCCAUCAUGCACGGACUUCCUUGCCCGUCCCUAAGCCAUUGUUUCGGCUACCCCUCCGACUCCAACAGCGAGCCAGCUCUUGCUCCAGAAUCUGCAGCAUGUCGAACACACGAGCUGGACCCGGUGACGUCUCAGCCAGAUGCCGAUUCACCUCAGCAGAAAUCUCAAGGGACCAUUGGCUCUUUCUCCACACGAGAAACUAACGGAACUAACUCAACGUGUAACCCUCAGGACAAAGAUGACCUUUGCCUUUCCUCCAGCUCAGAAGGCGAUGAUGAUGAAUUUUGUACUCAUAUCCCCAGACCCUCCAUUAUCGUGAGACACCCCAAGGAAACGGCAUCUGCCAGGACAGCCGACAGAGGAGAGACAGAGGAUGGGCCGUUAUCAGGUAUGGAAAACAAAACCAGCUUCCUCCCAUUUGCUCUUUUGCCUCCCUCAGCUCUGAUAUGAGCUGGAAAAAAAAGUCCCCGGCGUGAUGUUCCUUUGCUGAUGGAAAAACAACUUCGAUUUGACGUGAAGGGGAAAGUAUUCAAGAGGAAAUAACAGGGUGACACACUGGUGACCUCUCUUGCAUGCGAGUUGAGCUGGCAGUUUCCAUGACAAGUGUGCGCUUAAUCCACGGAGUUAAGUGGCGUAUUCAUAAUAAUGUGAUUGACAAUGUGUGGCCAUGCGUGCAAAAUGGAUAUUAAAGCAAACCGACGGGAUGGCGCCAAACAAAGACACGCUUGCCCCAGCUGCUGGCAGCCUCUUGUUGUUGUCUUUUGUUUCAUGGCCUCUUUUGAUAGCAAUAAAUGAGUUUCUCUGUUGGGGGUUAAUAAUUCCUGCAAAAACAACCUGCAGAAACAAUAAAAUGCAAUACAAUAACCCGUUAUUAGUUUUGUACUGGUUUUGUAUGGGCCAGUAGAUAUAGCACACAAGGAUAAGAAAAUGAAGAAUGAAGAAAAUGAAGAAAAUAAAAUCAUCUAAUUAUGAUAUUCUGCCCAGCAAUCAAUUGAAAUCAGCAGCGAGAGCAUUAUAAGACAAUGUGAGUCCAAACAAAUAGCAACAAUAAUUGUCCGCGACAUUGUCUUUGCACAAUAAACUACAUGCACGAUAAACAAAGCUUUAAAUGUGAACAAAUGGGAGGAAGAAAAUGCAGAAUUAUUUUACUAUCUGACCGCUGUGGAUGAGUACCUCUGUGAAAGUGGUUGUAAAUAUGAAUCAAAUACCCCAAUAAUGAUCAGCAGCAUUAUAUCUGAUGGAAAAAAGGCAGAAAGAAUUGGCAGCGGUAUUUACCAUCUGGAUGUGAGUCAUAGAAACUCUGAAUGAAAUGCAGCAAGAAUAGUCAGCAUUUUAUGCGUCAACUGCAUGUGACUAAUAAAAAUGAUAUACGCAGAUGUGAUUGGAAGCUCUACAUGGAUAAAUAAACUGUCAGUUGAUUAGAAUGUGAUCAAAAGGCAGCACGAAAAGACAGCGCCAUUGUUAUGUUAUGUUGUUUCUCUUCUAUUUUAUUGGCGUUAAAAGCAGC